CGUGGCCCAGUGGCUAGUGCGUUAGACUGUAGAUCAGGUAGUUGAGGGUUCGAUUCCCUUCG
rnacentral:tRNA from 1 species